GAUCAUGGCUCAGGAUAAACGCUGGCGGCGCACAUAAGACAUGCAAGUCGAACGGACUUAAUCGAAAUAUUUAUAUUUUGAAGCGGUUAGUGGCGGACUGGUGAGUAACGCGUAAGGAACCUGCCUAUUAGAGGGGAAUAACAGUGAGAAAUCAUUGCUAAUACCGCAUAUGCCAUAGAUAUCACAUGAUAACAGUUGGGAAAGGAGCAAUCCGCUAAGUAGAUGGCCUUGCG
rnacentral:rRNA from 1 species